GAACUUAAGAAAAUUGAGUAUCCAGAUAUUAACUGGAAGCCUCACAUUCCUGAAAUUGUAUGUAAUAUGGAAGUGAACCAAGUCAGAAAGCUUGUUCGGAAAUUGGGUAUUUGUACAGCUCAAAUCGAUGAGAUCUCCCAUGACAAUGUACACGAUUCUUCUGAACAAAAAAUAAAAUUACUGGAACGUUGGCACGAAAUGCAUGGGAUAAAAGGUUCUCUUCAGACUUUAACCACCAGUCUGAAAGAACUUAAAUAUUAUGAUGCAGUUGAUAAAAUUAAUGAACUAAUUGAGAGAAAAUUGAGCCAUCCAGAAGAUUAAAAGAGAUGACACUAUGUGAUCAGAUUGGACUGUUUAUGUUGACAUGGCAUAUUUCGGCAUGCAUAACAUCAGCAACAGGACUAGUUGAUACAGCGGACAAACGUCCUUCAAAAAUUACACUUUGCUACCUCAGGCGUUCUUUGUCAAUUGCAAUAUCACUGCUUUACCAGAACAUAAGACAUUACACAAUUCACAAAGGACUUCUUCUAAUUGAAGUAUGAUAGUGUGGUGUGUAGGCAAACAAAAUAACCUCCACAAAACUUUUGCUGGUGGCACAUUGAUCAUGUUUCAGCAGGGGGCAGUGUCUGAUUACAGGAUCGUGUCUGGGCUCAGAAUCUAUGUACAAAGAUGGAAGAUCUCCAGUGAUGUAGACCAGGGGUCAGCAAUCUUAAAUACUCAGAGCCAUUUGGAGCUGUUUCCCACAGAAAACACCAGGAGUCACAAAACCCUUCCCAUGCUUGACUAUUUCCUGAGUGGCCACAAAACUAGCAUCUGUACUUGAAUUAAACAUUCUGUUUUCUUCUGAAGCUUUUAUUUUCUUGGAUUUAUUCAUGGUUGGCCUACUGGGGUCAAAAAGCUCAAUAAAUCAUGCGCCGGCAGGUGUCAUACAUUGGCAGUUGUGACACACAUUUUGAGUGAUG